UACGGAGGAUCCAAGCGUUAUCCGGAUUCACUGGGUUUAAAGGGUGCGUAGGCGGAAUGUCAAGUCAGUGGUGAAAGCCUGUAGCUUAACUACAGAACUGCCAUUGAUACUGUCAUUCUUGAGUGUAUUUGAUGUGAGUGGAAUGUGUCGUGUAGCGGUGAAAUGCUUAGAUAUGACACAGAACACCUAUUGCGAAGGCAGCUCACAAAACUACUACUGACGCUGAGGCACGAAAGCGUGGGGAUCAAACAGG
rnacentral:rRNA from 1 species